AAAUUGAAGAGUUUGAUCAUGGCUCAGAUUGAACGCUGGCGGCAGGCCUAACACAUGCAAGUCGAACGGUAACAGGAAGCAGCUUGCUGCUUCGCUGACGAGUGGCGGACGGGUGAGUAAUGUCUGGGAAACUGCCUGAUGGAGGGGGAUAACUACUGGAAACGGUAGCUAAUACCGCAUAAUGUCGCAAGACCAAAGAGGGGGACCUUCGGGCCUCUUGCCAUCGGAUGUGCCCAGAUGGGAUUAGCUUGUUGGUGGGGUAACGGCUCACCAAGGCGACGAUCCCUAGCUGGUCUGAGAGGAUGACCAGCCACACUGGAACUGAGACACGGUCCAGACUCCUACGGGAGGCAGCAGUGGGGAAUAUUGCACAAUGGGCGCAAGCCUGAUGCAGCCAUGCCGCGUGUAUGAAGAAGGCCUUCGGGUUGUAAAGUACUUUCAGCGGGGAGGAAGGGAGUAAAGUUAAUACCUUUGCUCAUUGACGUUACCCGCAGAAGAAGCACCGGCUAACUCCGUGCCAGCAGCCGCGGUAAUACGGAGGGUGCAAGCGUUAAUCGGAAUUACUGGGCGUAAAGCGCACGCAGGCGGUUUGUUAAGUCAGAUGUGAAAUCCCCGGGCUCAACCUGGGAACUGCAUCUGAUACUGGCAAGCUUGAGUCUCGUAGAGGGGGGUAGAAUUCCAGGUGUAGCGGUGAAAUGCGUAGAGAUCUGGAGGAAUACCGGUGGCGAAGGCGGCCCCCUGGACGAAGACUGACGCUCAGGUGCGAAAGCGU
rnacentral:rRNA from 1 species